rnacentral:tRNA from 1 species
GAGACGCUACGGAGAAGAAAAUCCGUUGGCUUUAUUGACCGUGAGGGUUCAAGUCCCUCUACCCCCA